ensembl:lncRNA
UUUUAUUGAUGACAUACAUACUGUAUAUAUAUAUAAAUACAUGCAGCAGCUGGUCAUAUCAUCUAUUACACAUAUCAUUAUGCAAGACAUUAAAAUUUUGGCGUGGUAUGUUACAGGUGAUCAGAAAUGUCAGAAUUAACAAACCCAUUCCCAGUCAAAAUCUACAUAUAAUUAUUAUGUGCUGUAGAGGUUUUCCCUAUGAAUGAAAGUAGUCAGUUCUCAAACGCUGCAUAUUCUGGGUUAGGGUGCUAAAAAUAGACAAAGACAAAGGACUUGACUAAAGUUCGAGGACAGGCCUUGUGUGGUUUUACAAAAAAGAAGAGAGAAAAACUAUGACGUUGUGAUGUUAUUGUGUGUUCCUGUUUGAGUUGAUGACAUAAACCUAUGAAAACAAACAUGAGUGCACGGUGACUAGGGCACAUCCUCUUUUAGGAAGGAAGAGGACUUAACGUCGAAAGCAAGCAAUAGUAUCAACAGUCUCUUUAACCUCGCCAUGAACCAUGAACUUAAGACGAGCUCCCAAUAACUUCCCAUUACCUCUGUGUGACUUAUUAGCAGACAAAUGCACCAGGGCAUCACACACAGGCUGGGCCUCAGACCGUACACUACAAAAUUUUGUCCGUUUUCUUCCUGUCUUGUUGUUAGUCCAGUUGUUUAACCACUGUCCUGAAAAAACUUUCCUUUUUUUAAAUAGUAAAAUAUAUUUUUAUAUGUAUUUUUUAAAAUUCAGCUUGUUUAAUAGUUUUCCCUGCCACUCACAAGUGUGUGACUCAACUUUAGCCAAUUCAAGUACAUGAAAGGGGUGGGGUUAGAUGGGGUUUACCUGAACUCAAGUACAUUAUUUCGUAGGGCACUAUGCAGUAUGUGACGCGAUCAUGUAAUGAAAUGGUGAGUCACUUAAUGACGAAGGUACGGAGUAUAAGCACUAGCCUACUUUGGACAUUAACGAUUUAAAAUAUGGAAAUUUGCUACAUUGACUAUGCAGAAUUUGCCUGAUUAAGCCGAAGGUAAUUUUGAACUUCCACUUAUAGGCCUCUACUAUAAGUAAGGAGAGAGACAGAGAGAGAGAGAGAGAGAGAGAGAGAGAGAGAGAGAGAGAGAGAGAGAGAGACAGAGAGAGAGAGAGAGAGAGAGAGACAGAGAGAGAGACACCUUGGGUAUCAAAUUUGUUUAACCUGGGUUAAAUUUUAUUUCAACUUAUCUUAAGUGCGUCAAAGUCAAAUACUGUCCAAAUAUACCAGUUCAUCAUAUUAGUGAUUCUAGUUCCUGUUAGGCUAGAUACAUUUAACCUAUAAGAUACCUAUAAGAUAAAUUUCCUGUAACCGAUUGUAAUAAUUGUCAAACAGCGUCUGUUCAUUAAUCGUUUAAUUAUAUGAAAAUACUAAUGAUAAUUAAAUCGUGUUGAGCCAGGAUAGAGAUUUAUUUGCCAGGUAACUAUCAGAAAACUGCGUAAAGAAGUUCAUUAGUAUAAAUGAGCUUUUGUUUUGUGAGCUUACCAAAACUUUGUAGAGACUGCCUUUACUCACUUUCCUUCUCUAUUUUUUUAAGUGUAUAAGAAAGAAAGAAAGAAAGAAAGAAAGAAAGAAACGAAAGAACGAAAAAAUGUGUAAGCUCAAAAGACAUAAGAUACUUGCUAUUUAUGUUUUUAGCAUUUGAUGAUAAGUUCCAAUUUCAACAAAGUUAAGUGCAAAUUUGGUUCAGUAAUUUGAGUCUUGGGGCCCAGUUUCAGAAUGAGAAUGGUCAAAGCUUGCUCUAAUAGUUAACAAUCUUUGGCAGCGAUGCUUUUUGGAGGCAAAAAAUCUACACAAGGCCGAACAGACGGUCUAGGUUACAAACAAUUUCAAUUCGAUUCAAUUAUAUUUUGUUCAUAAAGCGCUUUUACCAAUUGGGCAUUUUCACAAUAAAGUCGCUUCACAGAAAUCCCGAUAUAGUUUUACAUCUAGAGCCCUAACAAAUAAAACAGAGACAUAUAGACCACCCAUAGAACUGUCAACCUAAAAAUAAAAUCAGAUUCCAUUUGUACACAACAUAGGCUACUAAAAACAACUUAGCAUUUUUUUUUACGUUAAAAAAAAAUACAAUGCAAAACAAGCACAUCGCAGUCUAAUAUCUUGAAUUUAACAUAAGCUAGAUGCUGACCAUAACGAGUUUCAUUGAAUACCAGGGAUAUACACUGUAUCUUAAAAUAGCCCAUUGAAGUAUGGACCAUACAAACGUCUGUUUAAAGGUUAUAUGAGAAACGGAAAAAAAACAAAACAUUAAUUUAUGUGCACGGCCAGCUACGUCUACAUAAUAUCCAGCUUAUUGUUUUUCGUUUUAUACACAGUAAAUCAUUUCUCUCUCUCUCUCUCUCUCUCUCUCUCUCUCUCUCUCUCUCUCUCUCUCUGAAUUGCAUUUUCUUUCAGUAGGUAGGUUACAGGUUAUACAUUAAAUGUUGUUUUGUAUGUCAUUAUGGAAAGCUGGUCAAAUUAAAUGCGGGCGACGUUUGUGCAUACUUUUCCUAACAGGUAAUGAGUUUUGGGAACAGCUCUACCUGUUGAGGUUCACUGGCGUUACUCCGCUUGUAGCUGUCAGGCCGAUGCGACUCCGCGCCUGUACCGGAGUUCUCCAGACGCUCUCUAUCGAUUCCUCUAGUCCAGCUCUACAGCAGACAUAUAUCCCAUCCGACAGGAGUUACUCACCCGUACAUAACGAGCUCAGUCCACGCAGCAUAUUCAUUCAUUGUGGUUUGAGCUAUAGAUAGCAAUAGAUAAGAAUGCACAAGAGGUGGAGGGUGAAUUUAAAUUCGACAUGUACUGUUUACAUAAUAAACUCAUCUGUAUGUGAUGUAUGUUUAUCUGACGUUUCAUACCUAGAAGUUGUGAAAAAUAAACAUUACACUCGAUGACAAUGCCUGUGUUACCUUACAGUGUGCCUUGAUUUAAUUAAAUAGAGGGGACAUAUAGGCGCAGGGGCUAAUUCAGUCUUAUGGAAAUAUAGGGUAAGUAAUCAGGUUCAAUAUUUUAAGUGAAGUGGUCUGUUCUGAGCAUUAAUUUAGCGUAAAUCUUGAGAAAGGGUUUUAGGACAGACCCCAAAACGACCUAGUCAGGGGAAAAGAUGGGUAAGUAGCAGAUUUAUGCAAAUACCAGGAUAAUAAAUCCUGAGCAGUCGA